CGGAGGGUGCAAGCGUUAAUCGGAUUACUGGGCGUAAAGCGCGCGUAGGUGGCUUUGUAAGUCAGUGGUGAAAUCUCGGAGCUUAACUCCGAAACUGCCAUUGAUACUGCUUAGCUUGAAUCAAGGUAGAGGUGGAUGGAAUAUUACAUGUAGCGGUGAAAUGCUUAGAUAUGUAAUAGAACACCGAUUGCGAAGGCAGUUCACUAUGCUUGUAUUGACACUGAGGCACGAAAGCGUGGGGAUCAAACAGGAUUAGAUACCCUGGUAGUCCACGCCCUAAACGAUGUAAACUCGACAUCAGCGAUACACAGUUGGUGUCCAAGGGAAACCGUUAAGUUUACCACCUGGGAAGUACGACCGCAAGGUUG
rnacentral:rRNA from 1 species